rnacentral:rRNA from 1 species
CCCUUAGAUGUCCUGGGCUGCACGCGCGCUACACUGAUGUGUCCAGUAAGCACCUAACCUAUUCCGAGAGGAGCGGGUAACCUUAGCAAAGCACAUCAUGAUGGGGAUAGAUUAUUGCAAUUAUUAGUCUUGAACGAGGAAUUCCUAGUAAGCACAAGUCAUCAGCUUGUGUUGAUUACGUCCCUGCCCUUUGUACACACCGCCCGUCGCUCCUACCGAUUGAAUGUUCCGGUGAGCUCUUCGGACUGCGCGGUCUGCAGUUUCUGCGUUCCGUGCGGAAAGUUGUGCAAACCUUAACAUUUAGAGGAAGGAGAAGUCGUAACA